UACGUAGGGUGCAAGCGUUGUCCGGAAUUAUUGGGCGUAAAGAGCUCGUAGGCGGUUUGUCGCGUCGAAUGUGAAAACCCGGGGCUCAACCCCGGGCCUGCAUUCGAUACGGGCAGACUAGAGCUCGGUAGGGGAGUCUGGAAUUCCUGGUGUAGCGGUGAAAUGCGCAGAUAUCAGGAGGAACACCGGUGGCGAAGGCGGGACUCUGGGCCGAUACUGACGCUGAGGAGCGAAAGCGUGGGUAGCAAACAGG
rnacentral:rRNA from 1 species